rnacentral:rRNA from 1 species
UACCUGACUAAGAAGCACCGGCUAAAUACGUGCCAGCAGCCGCGGUAAUACGUAUGGUGCAAGCGUUAUCCGGAUUUACUGGGUGUAAAGGGAGCGUAGGUGGCAAGGCAAGCCAGAAGUGAAAACCCGGGGCUCAACCGCGGGAUUGCUUUUGGAACUGUCAUGCUAGAGCGCAGGAGGGGUGAGCGGAAUUCCUAGUGUAGCGGUGAAAUGCGUAGAUAUUAGGAGGAACACCGGAGGCGAAGGCGGCUCACUGGACUGUAACUGACACUGAGGCUCGAAAGCGUGGGGAGCAAACAGGAUUAGAUACCC